rnacentral:rRNA from 1 species
UUAAGUGAAUAAGGGCGCACGGUGGAUGCCUUGGCACUAGGAGCCGAUGAAGGACGGGACUAACACCGAUAUGCUUUGGGGAGCUGUACGUAAGCUAUGAUCCAGAGAUUUCCGAAUGGGGGAACCCAACAUCUUUAAUAGGAUGUUACGAUUGUGUGAAUACAUAGCACAUUCGAGGUAGACGCAGAGAACUGAAACAUCUAAGUACCUGCAGGAAGAGAAAGAAAAUUCGAUUCCCUGAGUAGCGGCGAGCGAAACGGGAAAAGCCCAAACCAGCAAGCUUGCUUGUUGGGGUUGUAGGACUCCAAUAUGGUAGUUCUUUCAGAUAGUCGAAUGACUUGGAAAAGUCAGUCAAAGAGGGUAAAAACCCCGUAGACGAAAUGUGGAAGACACCUAGGAGGAUCCUGAGUACGGCGGAACACGAGAAAUUCCGUCGGAAUCCGGGAGGACCAUCUCCCAAGGCUAAAUACUCCCUAGUGACCGAUAGUGAACCAGUACCGUGAGGGAAAGGUGAAAAGCACCCCGGAAGGGGAGUGAAAUAGAACCUGAAACCGUGUGCCUACAACAAGUCAAAGCCCGUUAAUGGGUGAUGGCGUGCCUUUUGUAGAAUGAACCGGCGAGUUACGAUUGCAUGCGAGGUUAAGUUGAAGAGACGGAGCCGCAGCGAAAGCGAGUCUGAAUAGGGCGUUUGAGUAUGUAGUCGUAGACCCGAAACCAUGUGAUCUACCCAUGUCCAGGUUGAAGGUGCGGUAAAACGCACUGGAGGACCGAACCCACGUACGUUGAAAAGUGCGGGGAUGAGGUGUGGGUAGCGGAGAAAUUCCAAACGAACUUGGAGAUAGCUGGUUCUCUCCGAAAUAGCUUUAGGGCUAGCCUCGGAAUUGAGAAUGAUGGAGGUAGAGCACUGUUUGGACUAGGGGCCCAUCUCGGGUUACCGAAUUCAGAUAAACUCCGAAUGCCAUUCAUUCAUAUCCGGGAGUCAGACUGUGAGUGAUAAGAUCCAUAGUCGAAAGGGAAACAGCCCAGACCACCAGCUAAGGUCCCAAAAUAUAUGUUAAGUGGAAAAGGAUGUGGGGUUGCACAGACAACUAGGAUGUUGGCUUAGAAGCAGCCACCAUUUAAAGAGUGCGUAAUAGCUCACUAGUCGAGUGACCCUGCGCCGAAAAUGUACCGGGGCUAAACAUAUUACCGAAGCUGUGGAGUACACCUUUAGGUGUAUUGGUAGGAGAGCGUUCUAAGGGCGUUGAAGGCAGAUCGUGAGGACUGCUGGAGCGCUUAGAAGUGAGAAUGCCGGUAUGAGUAGCGAAAGACAGGUGAGAAUCCUGUCCACCGAAUGACUAAGGUUUCCUGGGGAAGGCUCGUCCGCCCAGGGUUAGUCGGGACCUAAGCCGAGGCCGACAGGCGUAGGCGAUGGAUAACAGGUUGAUAUUCCUGUACCCGUUGUUUUUGUUUGAGCAAUGGAGGGACGCAGGAGGCUAAGGAAUGCAGACGAUCGGAAAUGUCUGUCCAAGCAGUAAGUCUGAAGAGGAGUCAAAUGCUUCUUUUCUUAAGGACAAGCUGUGAUGGGGAGGGAAAUAAUAGUACCGAAGUUCCUGAUGUCACACUGCCGAGAAAAGCUUCUAGUGAGAAAACAGCGGCCCGUACCGCAAACCGACACAGGUAGUCGAGGAGAGAAUCCUAAGGUGAGCGAGAGAACUCUCGUUAAGGAACUCGGCAAAAUGACCCCGUAACUUCGGGAGAAGGGGUGCUGAUCAUACGAUCAGCCGCAGUGAAUAGGCCCAAGCGACUGUUUAUCAAAAACACAGGUCUCUGCAAAAUCGUAAGAUGAAGUAUAGGGGCUGACGCCUGCCCGGUGCUGGAAGGUUAAGAGGAGUGCUUAGCGCAAGCGAAGGUACGAAUUGAAGCCCCAGUAAACGGCGGCCGUAACUAUAACGGUCCUAAGGUAGCGAAAUUCCUUGUCGGGUAAGUUCCGACCCGCACGAAAGGCGUAACGAUUUGGGCACUGUCUCAACGAGAGACUCGGUGAAAUUUUAGUACCUGUGAAGAUGCAGGUUACCCGCGACAGGACGGAAAGACCCCAUGGAGCUUUACUGUAGUUUGAUAUUGAGUGUCUGUACCGCAUGUACAGGAUAGGUAGGAGCCGUAGAAAUCGGAACGCUAGUUUCGAUGGAGGCGCUGGUGGGAUACUACCCCUGCGUUAUGGCCACUCUAACCCGCACCACUAAUCGU